UCUUUGCAAAUCGUAAAAGAACAGGAUCGACACACAAUAUUUGGUAACAGUCAUGAAGAGAAGUGUUAAUUUUUUUUCAGCCAAGUGAAGUGAAUCUCUGCUCUAAAGCAUCAUUUUCAGCAUUUUUGGUAGAAGAAACUGACAUGCAGAGAGGCUAAACUGCCAAAGACAUAAACAAGAAUCUCCUGGGUGUGCCUGCUAUCCUGCCCUUGUUUUGCACUCUGUUCCUCAGAACUGCAUUCUAAAACUGUACCUGUGGUUAUUUAAGACCGCAUUCUCCUUGAAUAGCCUUUCAUGUAGCUCAAAAGGGCCUAUUUCAUGUCCUAAGAGGAGAAGGAAAUAAAUCAAAGUGACUUUUCCCAUC